CAUGUCUCCCAGUAUCCCCAAGUGUCCAGUGUCCCCAUGUCACUAGGAUACUAGGGGACACAUUGAGACAUGGGGACACUGGACACUUAGGGAUACUGGGAGACAU